GUCACGAUGCCAGAGUGGUUAAUGGGAUAGACUUGAAUCGAGUCAAUCGACUCAUACAUUCAGUUAUCUAUUGGUUUCGGCCGCGUAGGUUCAAAUCCUGCUCGUGACG